rnacentral:rRNA from 1 species
UACGGAGGGUGCAAGCGUUGUUCGGAUUUAUUGGGCGUAAAGAGCUCGUAGGCGGCUUGUCGCGUCGGCUGUGAAAACUCGGGGCUCAACCCCGAGCCUGCAGUCGAUACGGGCAGGCUAGAGUCCGGCAGGGGAGACUGGAAUUCCUGGUGUAGCGGUGAAAUGCGCAGAUAUCAGGAGGAACACCGGUGGCGAAGGCGGGUCUCUGGGCCGGAACUGACGCUAAGGAGCGAAAGCGUGGGGAGCGAACAGG